AAUUCUAUGGUGAUUAUGUGCGAUGCAAAGCUUCAGGAACUCCUAGAAUGUGAAAGCAUUUCUGCUUCGGAAAUACCUCAGAUGCUGGCACGUCGUCAUUUUGUUUAGCAAUGACUAUACGUCUACAUUACUAUGAUAGGUAAAGAAUGCCACGUUGACCUUUCAUAAGCAGAAAGGCUAGUUUACCAUUUUGUCCUCGAGGGAGAUUGUAUCAUAUCGAUAAAGAAUUAUAAAAUAAAUAAAAUAACUCGUUUCUUUGAUAUUUACACUGAUUUUCCUUAUGGCAAUUUUCAAUUAGCUAUGUACUAAUAGUUAAAAUUUACAAUUCUUUUGCAAGAAGCCUAAAAGAUAGGGAAGGUUCACAGAGCAGUUCAUUUAAUUUAAAGGGGUAAUUAUGUAUCUUUUAGGGGGAAACAUGUAGUAUGGGUGGUGGGAAUACUGUUUUUCUGCAUUGUACUUGUUCCUGUACCAUAUUAAUAAAAGACUUUACCUAUCAAAAUAAUAAUAAUAAUAAUUUAAAGGGGUAAUUAAUAGAAAAUGUACAGUAUACUUUCUGAAGGAAACUGAAAGAAAUGGUUGGCUGUUUUGUCAAAUGCAAGAGCGUUCUUUUCGGUUUACCAUUGUUAUAACAAACAGUUCAUUAACAUUCUCUAGAAUAUGCUCAAGUCAUUUCAGCUCUUGGAUAUCCCGCAACUGCUUCUCGUUCAAAUAUAUGAUUGAUGAGACAUGAGCCCCUUUUUACUCUUUCUUUCUGUUUAGUUGUAAGAUGAAAAAUUUUAUGGUUUAGAGAAAAUCAAGUGUUCUUAGUGGGGAUGACAACAUCAUUUUGCCUCUAGUAAUAAUUCUUUAAUAUGUGUACAAGAUUAUGUUUGACUUGAAUAUUUGCCCAGUUGUUGCUUUUCGAUGCCCAUAAGCAUUUGCAUUGGACUUCCAUCUGAUUUGAUCCACAACCUCCCGCUGUGUUUUCUUGCAGGUAUUUCAGGUCAUAGCUGUCUAGUCGUUUGAUGAUACGCUAAUGUUUCCGAAGAUGUAUCUUGGUUCUUAGGUAAUUUUAGUUUGUUAACAUAGUUAGACUCAUGGUAUGUAAUUAGAAUUC
rnacentral:lncRNA from 1 species